GGGGCCGUAGCUCAGCUGGGAGAGCGCUUGACUGGCAGUCAAGAGGUCAGGGGUUCGAUCCCCCUCGGCUCCA
rnacentral:tRNA from 4 species